rnacentral:rRNA from 1 species
AUGGUUGGCCAAGCUAUUACUACACAACAUGACCUGGAGUACAUGCUAGUUGAUCCGACCCUAGAGCCCACUGCCUUGCCAUUGUCACUUUUGUCAGAAAUCACACAUGGUUUCUCUGAUGACAUGGAAAUCGGCAGAGGAGGCUUUGCAACUGUUUAUAAGGCAACACUUGAGAAUGGAGCCGUCGCUGUAAAGAAGUUGCGCAAUACGCACAUCCACGAGAAAGAGUUUCUGGGAGAGAUUAAAUGCCUUGUGAAGCUGAAGCACAAGAAUAUCGUUCGAUUUCUGGUAUAUUGUUCUGACACACAAGGAAAUAUGGCAAAUUACAACGGAACAUUAGUCAUGGCAGAUGUACAAGAAAGAUUACUCUGUUUUGAGUAUCUACACAAAGGAAGUCUUGUCGCUUAUAUAAAGGAUUCAUCCAGAGAACUUGAAUGGAGAGAGCGUUACCAAGUAAUAAAAGGGAUCUGCGAGGGGUUAAACUAUCUUCACCAAGAAAAUAUUCUGCACUUGGAUUUAAAACCAGAAAAUAUAUUGUUGGAUGAAGAUAUGAAUCCAAAAAUUACUGAUUUCGGACUAUCAAGGUGUUUUGAGGAAGAUCAAACACGAUGCAUUACUGAUAAUGUGGGAGGAACACUGGGAUAUUUGGCACCAGAAUUCCAAAGCGGUGAAAUCACACACAAGUUUGACUUGUAUAGCCUUGGUGUUAUAAUUAUAGAAAUGUUGACUGGAAAGAAGGGGUAUCAAACUACUGAGAAUGUACUGGAAAUUUGGAAUAAUCCAACGGUGGAUACAUUGCAGUGGGAACAAAUACGAGUAUGUGCUAAGAUCGGGAUAGAGUGCACAGAUUUCAAUCCGGCGAAGAGACCGGCUAGUAUGAAGCAUAUAAUCGAUAGGCUUGAAGAGACAGAAUGCAGUAUACAUUUAAUCCCUACAGGUGGGACAAGCCAGCUUCUUACGCUUCAACAGUUCAAUCUUUGCUUCACCUUUGAGCCAAACAAGGUUAUGACAUGCCCACUGCAGCUAACAAACAACACCAAUAAGCAUGUUGCAUUUAGGCUUACAGACAAGAACAUGGAGCCCUCCUUCCUGAAUCUACCAUUGUAUGGCCUCGUUCCUCCUAACACACCUUACACUCUCAUCGUGGCAACAAAAGGGAAAGAAGAUCUACCUCGAAAAUAUAUCAUAGAUGUGUUCCUCCAGAGUGCUACAUUUAUAUUGGGGGAUGAUGGGCAUAUAAAAACUUUCCAACAGCAGCCAAACAAGUUUUUCCAAGAGAUGGAGAAUGAAGUGCAGGUGGCCAAACUGAAAGCACUUUAUACUCUGCCACGAGACAUCACACCAUCAUCGUCUAUGCCAAUCUCACAUGCAACAAAGAUAAUAUGCAUGGUGCAAGGCACCUACAGUUAUAAGUUGGACACAAACCAGACCAACCAAUGGAUGAUAUUAGGAGAUGACAGAGGAUACGUUCGCAUUUGGGACUGUAAGACACAGAGAAAGGUGGAUGCGCUUAAUGUCUCAGCGAGCAAAGUUCUGUGCGUUAAAUUUGUUGCAAGAAAGCAUUGGAUUGUUGCUGGGACACAAGAUGGUCUUGUCCAUGUGUACGAAUAUGAACAAGAGCGAAAGAUCACAAGUUUCAGAGCUGUUACAGCUGGUAUAUUUGAGAGUAUUUGGUCACUGGCCGUUCAUCCAACCCAGUCGUAUUUGCUGUCAGCGAGUACACACAUUAAACUUUGGGACUGGGACAAGGGUUGGGAGUGCGUACAGAUAUUUCAAAUGGAUGGGCCAGCAUAUCAAGUCGUAUUUAACAGAAAUGACACAAUCGCUAGUAUUUCAAUGGCACAUUAUUCAGUGGAGGUUCGGAGUAUUGAUUCACAAAAAUCUAGCUAUGAUCUUUCUGGGCAUUCAUCAACAGUGAGCUGCUUGGAUUUUUUCACCAGUCACGAUCAAGAGUUGUUGGUUACAGGAUCAAGUGAUAACACUGCCAAGAUAUGGCAUUUGGAGAAGAAGAUAUGUGCAUAUACACUUGAAGCUUCCGUAUCUCCAAUUAGUUCUGUCAUGCACCAACCCGAUCUUCAGACUCUAAUUACAGGUUCACUCGAUGGUACUAUUUAUUUGUGGAGCACAAAAAAUUUCAGGAUAUAUUCAUCACCCCCGAUGCUUAAAGGAAUCAUCAAGAUUGGUUCUCUUGGAGCUGUCGACCAUCUCGCAUGUGUGAUGGGAAGGGUUGUGAUUGGACAGUUUCGCACCAUAGCAAUUAUGGAUGUUGAGAGUGUGAGUUAUCAAAAGCAAUCAAUGGAUUAUGAGCAGGAGUUAAGUGUAGAUAUGAUACAACAUGCGGGAGACACAAUGUCUAAGGAAAUCUCAAGAUCCAUCAGCAAGCUACCUUUACUUGACGUCUACCCAACAGAACUCCACUUCCCAUAUCAUCCCAAUGAGCCCAUCCCGUGCUCACUGCACCUAACAAACAACACAGAUGAAAAUGUGGGAUUUAAACUUGUAGACAAGAGCGGCAAAUCCCCAUGGUGCUUUGAAAAGAUGCCAUUGUACGGCAUUGUGCCUCGUAGAUCCAACUACACUUUGAUCGUGACAACGAAAGAGGAGAUGAAGCUAAAGAAAGAGACAGACUUUGAUCUCGUUAUUCACAGCUGUUUAUAUGGAGAUAAGCACAUCAUGGCAUCCGAAGACAUGUCCGAUUUUGAUGAAUUUUUUGAGGAGGCCAAAGAACUUGGGAAUAUGGUGCAUGAGGUGACACUAGAAGCUAUUUAUGUGACGCAAGAAGAGAUGACAUGCGAGAAUAUAUUGACGAAGUAUAAUCCUGACAGUUUGCGUUCACUAGAUGCACAUCCAACAAAGCCAUGGAUUUUGACUGGGCAUGCUAGUGGAUAUGCCCGUGUAUGGAACCAUGAGAUGAAGUACCCGAUGAAUGUUUUUAAAGUCUCCGAUUAUGAAGUAAGCAGCAUCAAAUUUAUUACAAGAAGGGAAUGGAUUGUAGCUCUGACAUAUGGCGGUCACCUCCAUGUGUACGACUGCGCAUGUGUAACAAAAAUAAAAAAGAUCAGGAGUGUUGAACCUAGUAGAAUGUUGAACUUCUCAGAACUAGCCAUUCAUCCAAUCCUACCGUACGUGUUGUCACCAAGUUCAGUGCUUUUGGACUGGGACCAGCGCUGGAACCGCAUACAAACAUUUCCUGGUGCUUUACGGCCAUUUGCAUUUAGCCCUAAUGACAACAACACUUUUGCAAGUGGGUCUUUGUACAGCCACGUACAGAUUUGGAGGCUUGAUUCUUCUGUCCCUGAAUAUUCUUUGCCUGGGCAUUCGGAGCAAGUUCUAUCCCUUGAUUUUAUCACACGUGGAGCUCAACAAUAUUUGACCAGUGGCUCCAAGGAUUGCACUGCCAAGAUCUGGGACUUGCAGAAAAGAGAGUGCAUUCAUACGCUCGAAGCUAUGUCACCAGUUCAUUGUGUCCUUGCCCAUCCAAACCUUCCAGUUAUAAUUACAGGAACAGAACAUGGCAUCAUUCAUCUGUGGAGCUCCACUGAUUUCAGGCUCAAGAGAAUCAUUAACUUAGGCGGCGGUGGACCUGUUGUUGCCAUAGUACGUCUGAUGGGUUUACAAAGCAGGAUUAUGAUUGGGCAAAAGAACACAAUAUUUAUCAUGGAUAUCUAUGGUGAUGAAGCUUUGCGACCAAAGAGUGUAGCGCCCUGGAUGCGACACUGCAGGGAGAAGCGAGCUGAGGCGGAGCGCCGCAAAACAGAGGGAACCGGCUGCAAGACAAUGUAA